CAUCCUUGCCCCACUGAAUGGCAGAGGUGGAGUUUGUCCAACCACUGACCCCUCUCUCCUUGCCCUCCAUCAUGUCCAGCUCCAGCCAGUGGUAAAUAGGCAGCCAUCGCUUGCCCAGAAUUCUCACCAUGUUAUGCUGUGGGGCACCUAUGAGUUGCUACAGGAAGAGGAAAUUUGGACACAAACCUGUACGGAGGGAAGACCAUCUGAAGACAGAGGGAGAAGAUGGCCAUCUACAAGGCAAGGAGAGAGGUCUCAGAAGAAAUCAACCCUGGCAACACCUUGAUCUUGGAUUUUCCGCCUUCAGAAUUCUUAUUUGCUGGUUCACUUUGCCGGUGUGGGGCAGCAGCCUGCAGCAACUCCAGCUCCUGCUGGAUCUUCUCCUUCAGCUUCUCUGAUUCCUGGGUCUCCUCAUGUUUAGCUUAGCGACGAAGGGUGGAACCUUCUCCUGCAGGGAAGCCUCAUUAUCGAAGUGGUUGGCUGGAGGUGCUGAGAGGCUAAUGCAGGUCCCAGCUCAUCCUCAUAGGUUCCUCUCAUUCUUGCAGUUGCCAGAUUCUCCUUGCUUCUCCCAGCUGCCUGCUCUUCAGACUUCAGCCUGCUGCACCAGACACAGAAGGCUGUCUAACCAGACAGUCUUUAACAGUACCGUAGACUGUUUAUCCAGUUCCCACAACUGUGUAAUGAGAAAUGUCUUCAAUAA